AGGCUUACCAUGCAGUCGAGCGGGGAAAGGUAGCUUGCUACCUGUACCUAGCGGCGGACGGGUGAGUAAUGCUUAGGAAUCUGCCUAUUAGUGGGGGACAACAUUCCGAAAGGAAUGCUAAUACCGCAUACGCCCUACGGGGGAAAGCAGGGGAUCUUCGGACCUUGCGCUAAUAGAUGAGCCUAAGUCAGAUUAGCUAGUUGGUGGGGUAAAGGCCUACCAAGGCGACGAUCUGUAGCGGGUCUGAGAGGAUGAUCCGCCACACUGGGACUGAGACACGGCCCAGACUCCUACGGGAGGCAGCAGUGGGGAAUAUUGGACAAUGGGCGAAAGCCUGAUCCAGCCAUGCCGCGUGUGUGAAGAAGGCCUUUUGGUUGUAAAGCACUUUAAGCGAGGAGGAGGCUACCGAGAUUAAUACUCUAGGAUAGUGGACGUUACUCGCAGAAUAAGCACCGGCUAACUCUGUGCCAGCAGCCGCGGUAAUACAGAGGGUGCGAGCGUUAAUCGGAUUUACUGGGCGUAAAGCGUGCGUAGGCGGCUUCUUAAGUCGGAUGUGAAAUCCCUGAGCUUAACUUAGGAAUUGCAUUCGAUACUGGGAAGCUAGAGUAUGGGAGAGGAUGGUAGAAUUCCAGGUGUAGCGGUGAAAUGCGUAGAGAUCUGGAGGAAUACCGAUGGCGAAGGCAGCCAUCUGGCCUAAUACUGACGCUGAGGUACGAAAGCAUGGGGAGCAAACAGGAUUAGAUACCCUGGUAGUCCAUGCCGUAAACGAUGUCUACUAGCCGUUGGGGCCUUUGAGGCUUUAGUGGCGCAGCUAACGCGAUAAGUAGACCGCCUGGGGAGUACGGUCGCAAGACUAAAACUCAAAUGAAUUGACGGGGGCCCGCACAAGCGGU
rnacentral:rRNA from 1 species